GCACAGUUUGGGUUUGAGUUAAUUUAUUUAUUUAAACAGGGACAAUAUAAUUUAUUUAACAUGUCAUGUACGCUACCAGAAGAAUAUACAAUAAAAAAAGAAAGAAAAAAAAAACAUGAAUUUAAAUUUAAAAUACCUUGUGCAUAUUAGAAUGAUUUCUGAAGAUCACGUGACCCUGAAGACUGGAGUAAUGAUGCUGAAAAUUCACAGCAAUAAAUAACAUUUUAACAGAUAUUUAACAGAAAACAGCAGUUUUAAAUUGUAAUAAUAUUUCACAUGUAUUUUUUGAUACAUUAAACACUAAAAAUCUUAAUUAUUUAAAACUUUUUACCAGUACUGUAAAUGUUUCAGAUUUAAUGGACAUUUUUGUUUGUUUGUUUGCAGUCCCUAUCUGAGACAUUUGUGAAAGAUUUAUGAAAUGAUGAGCUUUUUCUCAAAAAGAGGCAUCAGACGUCAAACUACACAUGAGACUUUAAUGCUCUGCUCUCACUGUGCUUUGUGUGUGUGCAGCUUUUCCGUCUGAUCCGUCAGCAGCAGAUCCUCCAUGAAUAAAAACAGCUUGUAAAUAAAAGGCGAUCUGGAGCUGAGCGAAGCCGCACAAAAGCUUUGAUCCUAUUAUGAGUCACAAAAGCGUAAUCAAUAUCCAAUCAGGAGAAAUACGACACGAGGGCCUCUGUUGUCAGAGGUUACGUCUCCAUAGCAACAGGCCAGGUGUGGCGGAGGACGAGAUGCGUGCUAUUGAUGUGAGUUUAGGAAGCGUCGAUGAGGGAUACAGAGAGCCAGAGAUAAUUAAAACCAGGGAUGCGGAGGAAGACGACGGAUUAGAGAGGGCGGCAUAAAAACAGCGAGAUCGAGCGCAGAGUGAGUGAUGGAGAGACACACAGCACACCUGAGACACCAGCGGAUGAUGACAUCCUCACCGCAGACCUGACACUGAUGGGAUCAAGUCCAGUCUAGAACCAUCUGAGUGACAUGAAAACCAGACCAGACAUGAUGUCACAAUACAAACAGAACAUAUAUAUAACAUAACAUCAGUUGAUGGCAUAAUGAUAGAACAGCAUGGAAAAAUAAUAAUGAAUAAUGAAAACCAAUAAUGAAUAAAAUAAAAAAGAUGCAGUCUUUUUUCUGAAAAAUGUAUCAAAAUUGUUAGUUUUUACAAAAAAAAAAAAAAAAAAUUAAAAAAAAUCUGCCAAUGGGGUCAGAAAAAUAAAAUACAUUCAAAGAGAAAACACGAUUAUUUCUCUUGCCGGAUAUUUUUUUCAUGUUCAAAGCUAAAACUAAUUUUGAGACAUUUUUCAGGACAAGACGACUUGAUAUAAACUCAGUAAAUGCAUAUUGAUUUUAAGAAUGUUUAGACGUUAGUACUGGAAAAAUUUAAAUAUAACUAAAACUAAUUCAUAAAAAUUAAUAAAAGCGAUAUAUACAUAUUUACAAAAUGUAAAAAUAAUAAAAAUGACAGAUAAACAACAAAACUACUUUAAACUGAAAAUAUAAAAAACCUAAAACUAAAAUUAAUAAAUAAAAUUUAAUAAAAGUUAUAAGGACAUAAAAAAAAAACUAAAAUUAAUAAACAUUGGCAGAUUUUUUAUUUUAAUUUUUUCUUGUUUUAAGCAAAAACUCACUUAACUUUGAUACAUUUUUCAGGGCAAAACGACUUAAUAUAAAGUAAUUUUGCUUCUUAAGUAAAUGCAUAUUUAUUUAAGAAUGUUUAGAUGUUAGUACUGGAAAAAUAUAAAAAUAACUAAAACUAAUUCAUAAAAAUUAUUAAAAGCCAUAUAUACAUAUUUACAAAUUUUAAAAAUAAUAAAAAUGACAGACAAACAACAAAACUACUUUAAACUGAAAACAUAAAAACUAAAACUAAAUAAACUAAAAUUAAUAAAUACAA
ensembl:lncRNA